UACGUAGGGGGCUAGCGUUGUCCGGAUUUAUUGGGCGUAAAGAGCGUGUAGGCGGCCAGGUAGGUCUGCUGUGAAAACUCGGGGCUCAACCCCGAGCCUGCAGUCGAUACGGGCAGACUAGAGUGCUGUAGGGGAGACUGGAAUUCCUGGUGUAGCGGUGAAAUGCGCAGAUAUCAGGAGGAACACCAAUGGCGAAGGCAGAUCUCUGGGCCGUAACUGACGCUGAGGAGCGAAAGCAUGGGGAGCGAACAGG
rnacentral:rRNA from 1 species